AUGAGAGGAUGGAACCAAAUAUUGAAGACCCCAGCUGAUUGUCUUGAGCUCCUGCAAGGCAACGCAAUGCAAGGUGAAAGAAGACGUAGAGAUGGAGUUAAAGAGACAGAGACAGAGACCUGGGAUGGACCACACCGAGCAUGUGAAAAUAAACAAGUGGACUUCCAGGAAGAUGGUGGAGUGGUGAGCAGCUGAGAAAGAGCCUCUCUGAGAUUUGGUGUUCUGACACUGGAAUAUAGCAAUGCAAGGAGGAGAAAGAGGGAAGUGGGUCCUGGGAACCCAAGAAGGAUCUAAAAUGAGAACUGAAGUCAAUGGGGAGAGCAAAGAGAGGGACUACAAUGAAAAGGAGGGAGGUACCAAGCAGCACUUUCUCCAAGAACCUGACCUCACAGCGUGGGGGCAAGUCGAACCUGCAGAUGCAUGGUGACUACUGGUGACCCCAGAGGACUCUAAGGAGAAACACACAAGUGGAAAGGAACAGUGGACACAGCAGACUGGAGUGACUGGUGAGUUAUUUGGGCUCAGACAUCACCCAGGAGAGAGUAAUUGGCCAGUAGCCAUCUUAGAGAGGAACCAACUGAGCUUGGAACUCAGAACAUCUAUGGGCUGACUCCAUCUAAUGGCUCCUUGGUGUCUUGGUGAGGGUGCCAAGUUCAAGUCAGCAGGAGGUCAGGGAGCAGAGU
rnacentral:lncRNA from 1 species